rnacentral:rRNA from 1 species
UACGGAGGGUGCGAGCGUUUAUCCGGAUUCACUGGGUUUAAAGGGUGCGUAGGUGGGAAUGUAAGUCAGUGGUGAAAUCUCUGAGCUUAACUCAGAAACUGCCAUUUGAUACUAUGUUUCUUGAAUUUUCUGGAGGUCAGCGGAAUAUGUCAUGUAGCGGUGAAAUGCUUAGAUAUGACAUAGAACACCAAUUGCGAAGGCAGCUGGCUACAGGGAUAUUGACACUGAGGCACGAAAGCGUGGGGAUCAAAACAGG